GUGGGGAAUCUUGCGCAAUGGGCGAAAGCCUGACGCAGCCAUGCCGCGUGAAUGAUGAAGGUCUUAGGAUUGUAAAAUUCUUUCACCGGGGACGAUAAUGACGGUACCCGGAGAAGAAGCUCCGGCUAACUUCGUGCCAGCAGCCGCGGUAAUACGAAGGGGGCUAGCGUUGCUCGGAAUUACUGGGCGUAAAGGGCGCGUAGGCGGACAGCUUAGUCAGAGGUGAAAGCCCAGGGCUCAACCUUGGAAUUGCCUUUGAUACUGGCUGUCUUGAGUUUGGGAGAGGUGAGUGGAACUCCGAGUGUAGAGGUGAAAUUCGUAGAUAUUCGGAAGAACACCAGUGGCGAAGGCGACUCACUGGCCCGUUACUGACGCUGAGGCGCGAAAGCGUGGGGAGCAAAAGGGAUUAGAAACCCCGGUAGUCC
rnacentral:rRNA from 1 species